rfam:Gossypium hirsutum cultivar TM-1 unplaced genomic scaffold scaffold336.1, whole genome shotgun sequence
UUUUAAAAAUUCCAUCCACUUGUACCGUUAAAAACUGGUGUAACUGAUAAAAAUAACUAAACAACUAUAUGUGGCAUGCCACGUGUACCUCACAUUAACGUAUAAGGACCAGUUUUUAACAAUAUAAAUGGAUGAAAUUUUUACAA